rnacentral:rRNA from 1 species
UUUUUCAUGAGAGUUUGAUCCUGGCUCAGGACGAACGCUGGCGGCGUGCCUAAUACAUGCAAGUCGAGCGAAGAAACAACAGGUGCU